GCGCCAGUCCUCCGACAGACUGAGUCGCCCGGGUACCCGUGUUCCCAAUAAAGCCUCUUGCUGAUUACAUCCGAAUCGUGGUCUCGCUGAUCCUUGGGAGGGUCUCCUCAGAUUGAUUGACCACCCACCUCGGGGGUCUUUCAUUUGGAGGUUCCACCGAGAUUAGGAGACCCCUGCCCAGGGACCACCGACCCCCGCCGGGAGCUCACUUACAGGCCCUCCAAGCAGUACAACGAGAGGUCUGGAAGCCACUGGCCGCUGCUUAUCAGGACCAGCUGGAUCAGCCAGUGAUACCACACCCCUUCCGUGUCGGUGACGCCGUGUGGGUACGCCGGCACCAGACUAAGAACUUAGAACCCCGCUGGAAAGGACCCUACACCGUCCUGCUGACCACCCCCACCGCUCUCAAAGUAGACGGCAUCUCUGCGUGGAUACACGCCGCUCACGUAAAGGCGGCGACAACUCCUCCAGCCGGAACAGCAUGGAAGGUCCAGCGUUCUCAAAAUCCCUUAAAGAUAAGAUUAACCCGUGGGGCCCCCUGAUAGUUAUGGGGAUCUUAGUGAGGGCAGGAGCCUCGGUACAACGUGACAGCCCUCACCAGGUCUUCAAUGUUACAAGGGUGGUUUGAGAGACUGUUUAACAGGUCCCCAUGGUUCACGACCUUGAUAUCCACCAUUAUGGGCCCCUUGAUAAUACUUUUAUUAAUCCUACUCCUCGGACCCUGUAUUCUCAACCGCUUGGUCCAGUUUGUAAAAGACAGAAUUUCGGUGGUGCAGGCCCUGGUUCUGACCCAACAGUAUCACCAACUCAAAUCAAUAGAUCCAGAAGAAGUGAAAUCACGUGAAUAAAAGAUUUUAUUCAGUUUCCAGAAAGAGGGGGGAAUGAAAGACCCCACCAUAAGGCUUAGCAAGCUAGCUGCAGUAACGCCAUUUUGCAAGGCAUGAAAAAGUACCAGAGCUGAGCUCUCAAAAGUUACAAGGAAGUUCAGUUAAAGAUUAACAGUUACAAAUCAAGGCUGAAUAAUACUAGGACAAGGGCCAAACAGGAUAUCGGUGGUCAAGCGCCUGGGCCCCGGCUCAGGGCCAAGAACAGAUGGUACCCAGAUAAAGCGGAACCAGCAACAGUUUCUGAAAAAGUCCCACCUCAGUUUCAGGUUCCCCAAAUGACCAGGAAAUACCCCAAGCCUUGAUUUGAACUAACCACUCAGCUCGCUUCUCGCUUCUGUACCCGCGCUUUUUGCUCCCCAGCCCCAGCCCUAUAAAAAGGGUAAGAACUCCACACUCGGCGCGCCAGUCCUCCGACAGACUGAGUCGCCCGGGUACCCGUGUUCCCAAUAAAGCCUCUUGCUGAUUACAUCCG
rnacentral:lncRNA from 1 species